rnacentral:rRNA from 1 species
AUGGCUUCCACCUUUUGGAUUUUACUCCAAACGCCGUGGCAUGCAUGGCUCUUUUCGCGCACCUCUGUGAGGGCUUCGCCGGGUGCAUCCCAACACGACGCUCUUCCGCCACUACUUCUCCCCUCGGAUCCAACCGGGGGGCGCCAUCUCCGGUUGCAUCACCUGGAUCCCACGGUCCAAGGGGGCGUACCCGGAGGGCGCCACGAAGGAGAGGUGGGAAGAAUGGCGGGGCCGCUGGGGUGCUGGAUUGAAGAGAAGGACCCUCCGGACUUUUGCCGGGUCCGCGACGCGCCGCCUGUUCGCCGAGGCGACUGGAGCGACGUCGACAUCAACGAAGAGAAGCUCACGAUCGCCACCACCAGGACCCUUCGUCUCACCAAGGUCGGGCUCACCCUCGAGAUGAUCGGGGCGGAUUUCAUCCGCCGCCGAAUCGCUCCUCUGCAUAACAAGGGGAGGCCGGCCUGGCUCUUCACGAACGCCGCCGACAUCAUGAGGCUUCGCCCCGGCCUCAACCAUAAUUUCACGGUGAUGGGGCAUGCUCACUUUUGCCAGCGGCUCUUCCACCUCGACGUGAACCGCCAUGGCGAGGUCGAGCGGACCGGCAAGGCUGCGAGGGCCGCCGUGAAGGCCAGUAAGGUCGCCAAGGGGCCCUUGUUCAAGUUGCCGGCAGGAGUGGUUCCACUGAGCAACAACUCUCGCCGGACCAAGAUCAUCGCUAUGAUGCCGGACUUCAACACGCAUGGCCUCGAUCCGAGCUGGGUCGAGCCGGAGGAGAUUCAGGUGCAGGAGUUGUUCGACACCUUGCACGAGGGGUACGUUACCAUGGAGCCGCGGCUUGUCCAGGACACCACCCAGGCGGAGCUGGACUACAACGCCGCCAGGGCGAUGGAGGCGAAGCUCGUCGAGGAGGCCGGCAGCGCCGGUGGCGUGGAGGACAAGGCUGCGGUGGAAGCGGAGGAGAAGGAGCUCGCCUAG